AGCGUAGACGGCGAUGCAAGUCUGAAGUGAAAUACCCGGGCUCAACCUGGGAACUGCUUUGGAAACUGUAUGGCUAGAGUGCUGGAGAGGUAAGCGGAAUUCCUAGUGUAGCGGUGAAAUGCGUAGAUAUUAGGAAGAACACCAGUGGCGAAGGCGGCUUACUGGACAGUAACUGACGUUCAGGCUCGAAAGCGUGGGAGGCAAACA
rnacentral:rRNA from 1 species